rnacentral:snRNA from 1 species
AAAUGUUACAGCUAUUACAGAAAUUGUCUAGCAGGCUUUCUGGCUAUUACCAGAACCCCU